rnacentral:rRNA from 1 species
UACGAAGGGGGCUAGCGUUGCUCGGAAUCACUGGGCGUAAAGGGUGCGUAGGCGGGUCUUUAAGUCAGGGGUGAAGUCCUGGAGCUCAACUCCAGAACUGCCUUUGAUACUGAGGAUCUUGAGUUCGGGAGAGGUGAGUGGAACUCCGAGUGUAGAGGUGAAAUUCGUAGAUAUUCGGAAGAACACCAGUGGCGAAGGCGGCUCACUGGCCCGGUACUGACGCUGAGGUGCGAAAGCGUGGGGAGCAAACAGG